rnacentral:sRNA from 12 species
GUGGGCUUGGAAUCACGAUGUUGUGGGCCCAUGGAGCGUCAAGCGGGUGAUCACGGGGAUCUCCAUCACACCCGCCGGUAUAGCCGCGCCACUACUAAAGUAGGCCGCCAAGAGAAGCCUGCAUUGCUCUUGGUGCUCCGAAUUUUAUAUGUAGUGCGUGCCGCACGCCGUGGAGGGGUGGGUCGUGUUGGACGGCCUAGAAGGUGCGGAACGCCG